rnacentral:piRNA from 1 species
UGCAGAUGGGCUGGAAGGGGGUGU